GGGUUAACGUGCGUGAAGGUCGGAGUCAGCCCUCUUAAGACGCUUCUCCGCACGCCCGAAGGGAACGUCGGGAUCGGAACCGGCCCACCUCUGCUUCCCCAGAGGGGAUUUCACGGGCUCCGGUUUGCAGCCCGGCACCCCUCGGAGAGUCCCUCCAGGGUGCCUGAGUCGCGCCCAGCCUGUGCCUUCACAACUCGAUGCAGGGACCCGAGGAGGCGCGCGAGGACCGACCGGUCACCGCUCCAAUUACCUCAUCGCUUCAGCUCCCCGCCCCUUUCCCAAACCUGGAAGAACUGUCCCCUCCGGUCCCGGUCACCGCUCCCGCCCCGCGUUCCCCCCCCUCCCUCUCCGCCACCCCGAUCCCGAGCGGGUCUCGGGGAAACGCGCCCGCCUCCCCGGGGGGACUGCCGGGCCCGGAGAUGCGCGCACCCAAGGGUUAAGGGCGCCGGCCGGCGGCCGCGCCGUGCGCUCGCGGUGCUCAGAGCGGCUCGCCCCGCCGCCCCGCCGGAGGGUGGCCCCCCCCAACCCCCGCGAAGUCGGAUCCUUGAGCUGCGGCGGCGGCAGCCAACUGCUCCAUAUUUGGCUUCUAUUACACAUUUACAUACUGGAGCGAGCAAGCGAGCGAGCGCGAGAGAGCGCGAGGGAGGGCGGGCGGAGGGAGGAGGGAGGAGGGAGGAGGGGGGAGGAGGAGGAGAGAGCAGAGUAUACCGCAGACAUCAUUUCUACUACAGUGGCGGAGCCGUACAGGACCUGUUUCACUGCAGGGGGAUCCAAAACAAGCCCCGUGGAGCAGCAGCCAGAGCUACAGCAGCCGCAAGACACUGUUUCUCUCCCUCUGCCCCCCCUUCCCCACGCAACCCCAGAUCCAUUUACACUUUACAGAGGAGCCGGCUGCAAAUCACCGAGGUGUUCCAUUCAAGCUGCAGAUUUGUCUGUCGUCUUUGGACAGCAGUCUCUUCCUCCACGGCUGCUUUGGGGGAGUCCAACACCCAUCGGGGUUUACAACUUAUCAGCUGUGUGCUGUGGCUUCUAACGCUGUGA
rnacentral:lncRNA from 1 species